UCUUGAGCUGUGGCUCAGUGGUAGAGCAUCUGUUUGGCAUGCAGAAGGUCCCAAGAUCAAAUUCCAGAGUCUCUCGUCAAAGGAA
rnacentral:tRNA from 1 species